AGCAGCCGCGGUAAUUCCAGCUCCAAUAGCGUAUAUUAAAGUUGUUGCAGUUAAAAAGCUCGUAGUUGAAUUUCGGGAUCAAUGUUUCGGUCAUGCCCUUGGUAUGUACUGAUAUUACUGGUUUCUCACCUUCUAAAGAACCGUAAUGCCAUUAAUUUGGUGUCACGGGGAAUUAGGACUGUUACCUUGAAAAAAUUAGAGUGUUUAAAGCAGGCUCACGCUUGAAUACAUUAGCAUGGAAUAAUGAAAUAGGACAUCCGAUUCUAUUUUGUUGGUUUCUAGGAUCGAUGUAAUGAUUAAUAGGGAUAGUUGGGGGCAUUAGUAUUCAAUUGUCAGAGGUGAAAUUCUUGGAUUUAUUGAAGACUAACUACUGCGAAAGCAUUUGCCAAGGAUGUUUUCAUUAAUCAAGAACGAAAGUCAGGGGAUCGAAGACGAUCAGAUACCGUCGUAGUCUUAACCAUAAACUAUGCCGACUAGGGAUCGGAUGAUGUUAAUUUUUUAAUGACUCA
rnacentral:rRNA from 1 species